GAGACACGGACCAGACUCCUACGGGAGGCAGCAGUGAGGAAUAUUGGUCAAUGGGAGAGAUCCUGAACCAGCCAAGCCGCGUGAGGGAAGACGGCCCUAUGGGUUGUAAACCUCUUUUGUCGGAGAACAAAACCCGGGACGAGUCCCGGACUGCGUGUAUCCGAAGAAAAAGCAUCGGCUAACUCCGUGCCAGCAGCCGCGGUAAUACGGAGGAUGCGAGCGUUAUCCGGAUUUAUUGGGUUUAAAGGGUGCGUAGGCGGUCUGUUAAGUCAGCGGUAAAAUUGCGGGGCUCAACCCCGUCGAGCCGUUGAAACUGGCAGACUUGAGUUGGCGAGAAGUACGCGGAAUGCGCGGUGUAGCGGUGAAAUGCAUAGAUAUCGCGCAGAACUCCGAUUGCGAAGGCAGCGUACCGGCGCCAGACUGACGCUGAGGCACGAAAGCGUGGGGAUCGAACAGGAUUAGAUACCCUGGUAGUCCACGCAGUAAACGAUGAAUGCUGGUUGUCCGGGUCGAAUGAGAUCUGG
rnacentral:rRNA from 1 species